AUACGUAGGGAGCGAGCGUUGUCCGGAAUUAUUGGGCGUAAAGCGCAUGUAGGCGGUUUGGUAAGUCGGUCGUGAAAAUGCGGUGCUUAACGCCGUAUGGCGAUUGAAACUGCUGAACUUGAGUGCAGGAGAGGAAAGGGGAACUCCCAGUGUAGCGGUGAAAUGCGUAGAUAUUGGGAAGAACACCGGUGGCGAAGGCGCCUUUCUGGACUGUGUCUGACGCUCAGAUGCGAAAGCCAGGGUAGCGAACGGGAUUAGAUACCCCGGUAGUCCUGGCCGUAAACGAUGGGUACUAGGUGUGGGAGGUAUCGACUCCUUCCGUGCCGGAGUUAACGCAAUAAGUACCCCGCCUGGGGAGUACGGCCGCAAGGCUUAAACUCAAAGGAAUUGACGGGG
rnacentral:rRNA from 1 species